rnacentral:tRNA from 1 species
GAGCGCUAUGAGAAUAUUCUUGGCCUGCUAAGCCCUAGAAUUCGUGGUUUAACUCCAUGGAGCGCUCG